GUGCGAGUGUGCGGCUGUGUGCGUGUGUGAUCUCAAGGUACCUGUACAUGUUCAAGCGGAAUCACCCUUGUGUUCCCCUUUCUAAUUUUACCAUUAGACUCCUACUACCGCCGUUGCUACUGUCGCCAUAGCUACGCUGAAGUUAAAACGAUUUAUUGAAGCAAUGCGACCCUUAGCACUUUGCUGCUGUAGGGUGCAUAGGGCGUAAUGGCACGAUGAAGACAAGUCACAUAACCUGAGUACACCGUCGACAUACGGGCCCCUGUUGUGGUCGUUCGACGCUCACUUGGUCUCCCGUACUUGGCUACUAUGUGAGGAACAGAGAUAUCUAUGUUGUCGUUCGGUGUAUAACAUACAGGACAGCAGGUAUAGUCCGUGGCUAACUAAACUGGACACAAUUUUCAGAAGGACAGCGGCUUCAAGGCUCGUCGAAGGGACAGUACAUGUUUUUGUUUGUUCGCAGCACACGAGACCUGCUCACCAAUGAUUUAGUUCAGGCUUUCGUUUUUCAUGGCCUGUUCUCAGUCGAGCCGUUCCCGUGCCUAUCAAUACGCUAUGGUGUGCGCGCGCGCGCCCAGAGUACCAUGGCCGCUUUUGCUCGUUAGACAGGCACCCGCUGCCUACCCGUGUGCCUGCGAGCUUCUACCUACGCGGGCACGCAAACAAGCGAUAGAUCUGCCUUCAACUGCGUCUCGCCAUGGUUUUAGCCUCCCUCCGCCACGAACUACGUUCGAUAUAACCCCAAUCGAUUUUUCAUUUAUUAGAAACAGCGGUGAUAGCGGUAGUUGUUAUAGUACUGGCCAUAAUUAGACUGCUUAUAGUGAUAUACUAGGAAUCCGAGUCUAUGGCCAGGAGGAUCUACUCGGAUUCGUGGUGGUCUAUACCUAAGAUUUUCGUUGUCAACAGCUAUACUGAUAGGGAAUUAAUGACGGAGCAGACUAGUGUAAAAGAAAGUAAAAAGGACCCGUUAUGACACAAUGACAGGAAAGGGAUAAACGUUCGGUAGCCAUAGUUUGUUGGCAAUCGAAUUCAAAAUUGGAGCAAUAUAUUACGAAGUAUCUAUUUAGGCUAUUUUUAAAUAAAGAACCAAAUUACUAUGCAGCUAUGGAACAUUUCUCUGAGCUUGUUUCAUUUUUUGCGGUUGCUAGCAUCAAAGCUACCUUACAAUUUACACUCACACACACACACGAACAUAUAUAUAUAUAUAUGGAUGUAAAAUGAAAGCUCUUAAACCUUCAUGAGGCCCUUGCCCUAUCUAUAUUGUACGAGGUCUUUAACCUAAGUUCAUUUAGGUUUCGUUGCUUCAUUUCGGUACGUCCCCAUUUAGUUAAUCGACACAUCACAUUGUAACCGUUGGAUAUAUUAGUAUGAAGAGAAUUACUCAGAUUCCGCAGCUAACUGGCAUAUUAAUGUUGAUCAUUAUAAAUAUAAAAAGUUUUUUCGUUUAUUUGUGUAGUAGAAGAUGUUAGACUAGACUGCUUCCUAGAAUAUUCCAGCUGGGCGCUUAUAUCUACCCACUUCGCUGACCCAAUGACUCCAAUGGGCACAGAUAAACUCUGCUUGAACGUAGCUGGUGAAUCGUGUACCUACUACACUGAUUGCUUUGUAUGGGGCAGAACCGACAAUUAGUGAUCUUUCUAAGAGCGUUCUAACAAAAACUGGAAAAGAAAUGUUAAUAAUACUU